AUGAAACUCCACCCCGUAGGCCUCUUCCUGCUCUCUUGCACCUGUCUGCUACUAUGUGCUGCCGCGCCGGUGACGGUGAUGGUGAGAGCAGGCAUCCGGCGUGAAGCUGAAGCGCUAGUGAAUUGGAAGGCUAGCUUGGUCAGUGCGGAUGACUCCCUUGGAUCAUGGUCGUUGGCCAACUCCACCAGCCUUUGCAAGUGGACGCACAUCACUUGCAACUCGGCUGGGCACAUGACAGGGCUCCAUUUUAUGGAGGCAAGUUUGAACGGCACACUUGACAGGUUCGACUUCUCGGCUUUUCCCCACCUGAAGAAUCUCACCUUGAGCAGCAAUGGUCUAUAUGGUACAAUUCCAGCAGGGAUUGGCAACCUGACGAGCUUGGCCCGGUUGUAUAUCUUCAAUAAUCCGUCUUUGAGGGGUGCCAUUCCGCGCAGCAUUGGACAGCUGAAGCACCUUUCCGCACUGUAUCUAUUAUACCUGGGGCUCGAUAGCAAUCUACCUCAAGAGAUUGGUAACUUGACGACCUUGGAGGAGCUCCAUCUUUACUCGGUUACUUUGACCGGGUCAAUUCCACCAACAAUUGGGGUGCUCGUGAAGCUCCGCGUGCUCAGCAUGCAAGGGAACAAUCUGACAGGGAGCAUCCCACUUGAGAUUGGAAACAUGACACAACUAAACAUCAUGAGCUUAUGGUCUAACUAUUUACAAGGGCAGCUACCAGGUACCAUCUCUAAUUUGGUGUCACUCCAGGAAUUGUCUCUGUCAGAAAACCAGCUCGGAGGCCACAUCGUCCCUGAGCUUGGGAAUAGCAGCCUCCUGGAGACAGUUGAUAUUGAAAUGAACAACUUCUCCGGGCUGUUCCCGUCAUCCAUUUGUGUAGGAGGACGACUGAGUAUUGUCAGUGCUAGGUCCAAUGGAUUCACGGGCAUUCACCACCAGACCUUCCGAAACUGCACAUCCCUGAUGUUUGUUGACUUCACGGCAACCAACAUUGUUGCAGAUAUAAAGGACUGUGUUGGCGAGCAUCCAUGGGAGCUUCGCAUGAUGACUUUGGGUCAAAAUCACUUGUAUGGCACGCUUCUCACAGAUGGGGGCAAGGUAUUCAUUUGUAACUCUACUUAUUUAAGCUUCCUAGACCUAUCAAACAAUUUAUUAGAUGGAGGUCUCCCCAAGUGUUUGUGGGACAUGCCAAGUUUGGGAUACAUGGAUCUUUCUAGCAAUUCUUUCAGUGGUGUAGUUCCCUUUUGGAAGACUUGCAACAAUAAUCUUGUAUGUUUACGCCUAGCCAAUAACCAUUUCGAAGGAACCUUUCCUUUGGGUCUUAGGAAAUGCAAAAACCUUAUCACUCUAGAUCUUGGAGGCAAUAAUUUCUCUGGUAGAAUACCUUCUUGGGUAAGCAAGAGCUUGCCAAAUCUCAUUGUUCUUCGAUUAUAA
rnacentral:rRNA from 1 species